CCAUGUUGGCCAAGCUGGUCUCAACUCCUGACCUCAGGUGAUCCACCCGCCUGGGCCUCCCAAAGUGCUCGGAUUACAAACCUGAGCCAAAGCGCCCGGCCACCCUUUUUUUUUUUUUUGUACUCAUAUUAUCUCUAUGCUUUUGCUUUCUGAGUCUUUCUACUUCUGGGUGUGCCUAGACUAAAAGAUAAAGUCCAGGCUCUUCAGUGUGCUGUUGCUCCAUAUGCUUUUCUAACUGAAUCCUCCACCUUUUUACAUCUUUUAUGUAGGAGGAAUUCAUUACAUUUCAAAAGAUUUUUCAGGCCCAGCAGUUCUAGUACUUUAUGUGCAUCUUAAGCAUUAUUUUACAUUCAUCCAACUAGUGAUUAUUUUCUCCACAGUUGUUUAUGCCCUAUUUGAGCACUGUGAGCCACACCAGGCAUGAUGGAGACAAGGAUGGUGGGAGUGUCAUCCGGGGCUUCUCAAGACCUCUCUCCCACCACAGGUGGAAUUAAGAAAUCUGGCAAAAAGUAAGCUGUUCCUUGUGCCUGAGGAGAUGGUGACCCUUUAUUUCAUCCUUAUUUAAACGUCUAUAUUCCCUGCCAUAACAUCUUUUGCCACCUAAAGCUGGAAUUAAGUGUUGUCUUGGAGCUGUUGUACAUUUAAGAAUAAACUUUUGUAAAAAAAAAAAAAAACUUACAGUGGUUCGUCAUCUCUUUAGUUGUUUUCACUAAGUCAUUCCUACCAUAACUGUGAAUUUAAAGUAAAACCAGCUCAGAACCUUGCCAGAGUCUGCUCUUUGGUCUUUGUUCUACCCUAAACUUUGUAUCACCUGAAAUUAAACCAACUCGUUUGAAA